UACGAAGGGGGCUAGCGUUGUUCGGAUUUACUGGGCGUAAAGCGCACGUAGGCGGAUCGUUAAGUUGGGGGGUGAAAAUCCCAGGGCUCAACCCUGGAACUGCCUUCAAUACUGGCGAUCUAGAGUCCGGAAGAGGUGAGUGGAACUCCUAGUGUAGAGGUGGAAUUCGUAGAUAUUAGGAAGAACACCAGUGGCGAAGGCGGCUCACUGGUCCGGUACUGACGCUGAGGUGCGAAAGCGUGGGGAGCAAACAGGG
rnacentral:rRNA from 1 species